rnacentral:rRNA from 1 species
GACGAAGGGGGCUAGCGUUGUUCGGAAUUACUGGGCGUAAAGCGGGUGUAGGUGGUUGUCACAGUCAGGUGUGAAAGCCUUGAGCUCAACUCAAGAAAUGCACUUGAUACUAGGCGACUAGAGGACCGGAGAGGAUAGUGGAAUUCCCAGUGUAGUGGUGAAAUACGUAGAGAUUGGGAAGAACACCAGUGGCGAAGGCGGCUAUCUGGACGGUUUCUGACACUAAGACUCGAAAGCGUGGGGAGCAAACAGG